CUGCACUGGUGGCAGUCACGAGUUUCAACAGCCUCUGCCAAAUUCCUCAAGACAUGUAGAGCCAGAAACAUAACCUGUAAUCACCAGCUGGGGAUGAGGCACCAAGAAUAAAACCUACAUUUGCCUGGUUUCUCGAUGAGUUGUCAGCAAGCAGCGGAGGGAAGAUAAUCAGGAGCUGGGGACACAGCUCAGGAUAGAGCAUUGGAGCAUGGCCAAGGCCCUGGGUUCAAUCCUUAGUACCAUAAAACAAGCUUUGAAGUCAUCAGUCCAGUUUUUGUAUCUGCUUUCCUGAAUCCCUCCUAUCUAUCUUUAAAA